rnacentral:rRNA from 1 species
CACGUAGGCACCAAGCGUUGUCCGGAUUUAUUGGGCGUAAAGAGCUCGUAGGCGGUUCGAUAAGUCGGGUGUGAAAUCUUUGGGCUCAACCCAAAGCGUGCACUCGAUACUGUUGUGACUAGAGUUCGGUAGGGGAGUGGGGAAUUCCUAGUGUAGCGGUGAAAUGCGCAGAUAUUAGGAGGAACACCGGUGGCGAAGGCGCCACUCUGGGCCGAAACUGACGCUGAGGAGCGAAAGCGUGGGUAGCAAACAGG